rnacentral:rRNA from 1 species
UCUAUCCGCUUAACGUAUAGGCUGCCGGGAAUACUGCACAGCUAGGGAGUGGGAGAGGUAGACGGUACUCGGUAUGAAGGGGUAAAAUCCUUUGAUCUAUUGAUGACCACCUGUGGCGAAGGCGGUCUACUAGGAACACGUCCGACGGUGAGGGAUGAAAGCUGAGGGAGCAAACCGGAUUAGAUACCCGGGUAGUCCCAGCUGUAAACAAUGCAAACUCAGUGAUGCACUGGUUUGUNGUCAGUUCAGUANCGNAGNUCAGNAAUNAGCUUGNCNGNUUAGA